UUUAAUGAUUCCUCCCCUCCCCAUGUGCGUUUUGGAGCAGGAUAUGUUUGAGCACAGCUGCAUUAAGGAUGAGAUGUUAUUUAAUUCAGCUGAUUCCUGGUUGGAUGGGCUAUAAAGGGUGUGGGAGAGGAGCUGGGCUUUCUCCUGCUUGUGUAGGGAGAGUUGUUGGUUUAGAAGGAGCAGAGUGAAGGAAGAUUUACAGCAUCCAAUAAUGCAAUGGCUGGAAGACAAGGAAGUGGCAGAGUAGCAGGGACGAUGCUCUGGAUAUUGGCAGUGAUUCUGAUGCUGUGGGGUCACCAGAUCAGUGGACAAGGGCAAGAUUGAACAACUUUUUCCAAGAAAAGAACAAUACUUCAGGAAACCACGUGUUUUACAUUUGUAUAGUUUUGUAGUUGUGAGCCAGAUGCUGCUGCAGCUGGAACUGCCUAUUGCAUAAUCCCCAACUGUGCUUCUUGAGAUGUGCAUCAAGAUUUACCCUUGGAUUAUACGGUUUAAGUUAUGUAAUACAACAUUCUUGUAGUCUAGAUAAAUUUUUGUGCGAUGUGGCUCAGAAGGCAUUUUUUUUAGUCUGUCAUUUUAAUUUAUGAAAUUUUUUCCUUUUAAACUUAUGUUGUCCUUCUGGAAAAUGGUACUUUUGCUGAGUGUCUAACAAGUCAUAUGAAAAAAUUUUGUAAAAUGGCAUCAAUUUUCUCCAAGGUGAAGCUUCAGCUAGAGCUUACCUCUUUCUAAAGAUAUACAAUUAAUAAAAUUAAUAAAAAAAUAAUUACACAAUUGAUCACACAAUUAAUAAAAUAGUUUUGAACGCACCAAACCACAGAAAACCUUCAGAGCUUGUAUCCUAUAUAUGCACCAAGAAUCAUUCCUCUGUCAAUGGCUCUCCCUACUUUGGAUCUCCAAUAACUGACAUAAAAUGAGUUGAUGCUGAAGAAUAAAUGGGUGCUGAUGAUAAUGGAGCCCUAAAAUGUGAAUAUAAUGUGAAUCAUUUUAUAAAUCCAUUGAAAACCAGGUGGUGGUCUCCUAUAAAUUAAUGCAUGUGUGUCCUUCAUAUGAAUAUGAACUGUGAAAGUUUAUUUCAUUCUUUCUGUGAUUUUUUUUCU